rnacentral:tRNA from 1 species
GGGGUUGUGGCUCAGUAGUAGAGUACUUGCCUAGCAUGUGUGAAGCACUAGGUUCAAUCCUUAGCACCCCA